rnacentral:rRNA from 1 species
GACGAACGCUGGCGGCGUGCCUAAUACAUGCAAGUAGAACGCAGUUGCGAACGGGUGAGUAACGCGUAGGUAACUGCCUCGUAGCGGGGGAUAACUAUUUGGAACGAUAGCUAAUACCGCAUACUGUGAGAUGGACCUGCGUUGUAUUAGCUAGUUGGUGAGGUAAAGGCUCACCAAGGCGACGAUACAUAGGCGGCCUGAGAGGGUGGACGGGCACACCGGGACUGAGACACGGCCCCGAAUCCUGCGGGAGGCAGGAGGAGGGAAGUUUUGGACAUGGACGGAAGUCUGGAUGAGGAACGCCGCGGGAGUGAAGAAGGUUUUCGGAGCGUAAAGCUCCGUUGUGAGAGAAGCGGUAACUACACAGAAAGGGACGGCUAACUACGUGCCAGCAGCCGCGGUAAUAC